AGAGUUUGAUCCUGGCUCAGAAUGAACGCUGGCGGCGUGCUUAACACAUGCAAGUCGUACGAGAACGCUUCAGCUUGCUGAAGCUAGUAAAGUGGCGCACGGGCGAGUAACGCGUGGGUAAUCUACCUUCGAAUCGGGGAUAACUUCGCGAAAGCGGGGCUAAUACCGGAUAACAUCUUGCAACCCCGGUCUAUAAGAUCAAAGGUGGCCUCUACAUGUAAGCUACCGUUCGAGGAUGAGCCCGCGUACCAUUAGCUUGUUGGUGGGGUAACGGCCUGCCAAGGCCACGAUGGUUAGCUGGUCUGAGAGGACGAUCAGCCACACUGGAACUGACAUACGGUCCAGACUCCUACGGGACUUCAGCAGUGAGGAAUUUUGCGCAAUGGGGGAAACCCUGACGCAGCAACGCCGCGUGAGUGAUGAAGGCUUUCGGGUCGUAAAGCUCUGUCAAGUGGGAAGAACCCAUAUGGUGACAAUACCGCUAUGAGGCACCUGAACGGGUACCCACUUGGGAAGGAAAGCCCCCCGGGCUUAACCUCCCGUGGAAGCACCGGCUAACUCCGUGCCAGUAGCCGCGGUAAUACGGGGGGUGCAAGCGUUAUUCGGAAUUACUGGGCGUAAAGAGCGCGUAGGCGGUCUUUUAAGUCAGGUGUGAAAGCCCGGGGCUCAACCCCGGAAGUGCACUUGAAACUAUUAGACUUGAGUAUGGGAGAGGGAAGUGGAAUUCCUGGUGUAGCGGUGAAAUGCGUAGAUAUCAGGAGGAACAUCGGUGGCGAAGGCGACUUCCUGGACCAAUACUGACGCUGAGGCGCGAAAGCGUGGGGAGCAAACAGGAUUAGAGACCCUGGUAGUCCACGCUGUAAACGAUGAACACUAGGUGUAGCGGGUAUUGACCCCUGCUGUGCCGUAGCUAACGCAUUAAGUGUUCCGCCUGGGGAGUACGACCGCAAGGUUAAAACUCAAAGGAAUUGACGGGGGCCCGCACAAGCGGUGGAGCAUGUGGUUUAAUUCGACGCAACGCGAAGAACCUUACCUGGGCUUGACAUCCCGAGAAAGCCCUCGAAAGAGGGAAGUGCCCUUCGGGGAACUCGGAGACAGGUGCUGCAUGGCUGUCGUCAGCUCGUGUCGUGAGAUGUUGGGUUAAGUCCCGCAACGAGCGCAACCCUUAUCUUUAGAUGCCAUCGGUUUGGCCGGGCACUCUAGAGAUACUGCCCCGGUUAACGGGGAGGAAGGUGGGGAUGACGUCAAGUCCUCAUGGCCUUUAUGCCCAGGGCUACACACGUGCUACAAUGGGCUGUACAAAGGGUAGCGAACCUGCGAGGGGGAGCCAAUCCCAAAAAGCAGUUCUCAGUUCGGAUUGGAGUCUGCAAUUCGACUCCAUGAAGCUGGAAUCGCUAGUAAUCGUGGAUCAGCACGCCACGGUGAAUGCGUUCCCGGGCCUUGUACACACCGCCCGUCACACCACGAGAGUUGACUGUACCAGAAGUUGUUGGGCAAACCCCGGAGCUUGUCGAAGGGGAGGUAGGCACCUAAGGUAUGGUUGAUAAUUGGGGUGAAGUCGUAACAAGGUAACCA
rnacentral:rRNA from 1 species